UUGUCUCCAUCAUCCUCUUCAUCAUUGGCACCCUAGAAAUCUUGAGCAAAAGUGUUGAUAAUAAGUGUGGAAAGAAGAGAUGGAUAUGGGUAAGUGGUAUGGAGAAAGGAAGAUGAAAGGGGAAGAGUAGAGAAGAGACAAGAAGAAAGAUAAAAAGAAAUCUAAAAAUUUGCAUAAAAAAUGGGAUAAAAUUGGAGUGAGAAUGAGGUUUUAUAAUGAAAGGUGA
rnacentral:lncRNA from 1 species